CUGCGGGAGAGACUCCCAUCAGGGAGCGCCGAAGGCGCAACACGUCCGGAAACGCUCAGGCAAAAGGACCGCAGUAG
rnacentral:ncRNA from 1 species